rnacentral:sRNA from 1 species
CUUUCUGUUUUCAGGAAAGGCCUAUGCUCCAGAAUUCUAUUAUGAUACCUACAAUCCAGUAUGGCAGAACAGACACCGUGUUUAUUCUUACAGUCUGCAGUGGACACAGAUGAAUCCUGAUGCAGUGGAUCGGAUUGUUGCAUACCGGUUGGGUAUCAGGCAGGCUGGACAGCAGCGUUGGUGGGAGCAGGAGAUUAAAAUAAAUGGGAAUAUUCAAAAGGGAGAAUUAAUUACAUAUAACUUGACAGAGCUAAUUAAACCAGAAGCUUAUGAAGUCCGACUGACUCCUCUCACCAAAUUUGGUGAAGGAGAUUCAACAAUUCGUGUGAUCAAAUAUAGUGCUCCUGUAAAUCCUCAUUUGAGAGAAUUUCAUUGUGGAUUUGAAGAUGGUAAUAUUUGUUUGUUCACUCAAGAUGAUACAGAUAAUUUUGACUGGACAAAACAAAGUACAGCAACAAGAAAUACAAAAUAUACUCCUAAUACAGGACCUAAUGCUGACCGUAGUGGUUCCAAAGAAGGUACGGGGGUAUGACCUUGUGUGUUCAUAGCAAUCAGAGACUUUUAAAAACUGCUAUGAAUAUGAAAUACUAAUAUUUAGCCAUAUAUUUGAAAAUUAUGGAAUAAAAUAUUAAAUUUUCUGUACA